CGUAUUGCAUCUUCCAGAACUCCCUGCCUCCAUCUCUCUACUCCUAUACCUCUAUCUCUCUAGCUCGAUACCUCCAUUUCUCAAACACAGCAAUUAUAUCCCUCAAAAUCACUGUAAUCUACACCCCGGCCAUGGACAAUAACGGGUUGAUGUAUCGCAUAUCUUGGAAGAUCAAAUAUCGGGUUCUCUUGGAAGAUCAAAUACAGAAGAAACAGACGACUGGCAGAUGUAGUCUCAAUCUUGGAUUUACAGACAAAAAUGGAGUUUCUACCUAAUUUAGGAGAUUAUCACUUACAUCGUAGCUCACAACUUUGUUGGCAUAUGGUGAUUAACAUAAUGGUGUUGGAUUUGAUAUAUGUAAUUGCUACAACAUACUAUUUUCAACUCAGUAUCCAUCCUGAGAACAUCACGAUAGGAGCCAUAGUACCAAUCAUUGGAACUCUCAAUACCAGAAAUCGUUACAGCUCUUCUUCUUGCACUGGAACUCUCAUAUAGAUACCGGCUCUUCUUGCACUGGAACCAUUUGCAGACAGAAGAACUUUUCCUUUCCAUCACUACGUUUUGCCGGACGACCACUACCUUGACAGCGCUUCUUUUCUUGAAGGUUGAUAAACCGCGAGCACGAACGUACCCAUUCGGGAAGAGAACUGUGAAUUUUGAAGAAAUUUCUGGGUUAUCGUUUGCUGUAUACGAUAAUUAUACCUGCAUUAUAUAGGCUUUAAUUGUGCUGCGUACAUUGUAAGAGUUCUGAACCUAUAUUAAUUCCCAUAUAGUAUUAAUUGCUGUCGUCGAUUCGAUCGAUUCGUUUUUUUAAACAAACUUUUUGCGGCUAUUCAUCUAGGACUGCAAUUAAUACUCUUUCCUUUCCCAUGUAAUGAAUAAAUCUAUGUAAUGAAUGCAAAAUAUCAAUUCUCAAACAUUGGAUACCAAAA